GACGAACGCUGGCGGCGUGCUUAACACAUGCAAGUCGAACGGAAAGGCCCUGCUUUUGUGGGGUGCUCGAGUGGCGAACGGGUGGGUAACACGUGAGUAACCUGCCCUUGACUUUGGGAUAACUUCAGGAAACUGGGGCUAAUACCGGAUAGGAGCUCCUGCUGCAUGGUGGGGGUUGGAAAGUUUCGGCGGUUGGGGAUGGACUCGCGGCUUAUGAGCUUGUUGGUGGGGUAGUGGCUUACCAAGGCUUGGACGGGUAGCCGGCCUGGGAGGGUGACCGGCCACAUUGGGACUGAGAUACGGCCCAGACUCCUACGGGAGGCAGCAGUGGGGAAUAGUGCACAAUGGGCGGAAGCCUGAUGCAGCAACGCCGCGUGCGGGAUGACGGCCUUCGGGUUGUAAACCGCUUUCGCCUGUGACGAAGCGUGAGUGACGGUAAUGGGUAAAGAAGCACCGGCUAACUACGUG
rnacentral:rRNA from 1 species